rfam:Cardiobacterium valvarum F0432 genomic scaffold Scfld137, whole genome shotgun sequence.
GCAUAACUGCGAAGUUUGCGUUUCCUACAAACCCCUUGACCCUAAUUACAUCUCGCCUUGGGGGUCAGACGCAACUGGGUGAGCAAGCUUGUUUUCAAGCAAGAAGCCCGAAAGCUUGUUAAGACCCCCACUUGAACCCUGCGGUUCAAGGGCAUAAGGUUAAGCGGCUAUCGCGGUUAUGCU